GAUGAACGCUGGCGGUAUGCCUAACACAUGCAAGUCGUACGAGAGUUUUUAACUCUAGUGGCGGACGGGUGAGUAACACGUGAGAAUUUGCCUUUAGGAGGGGGACAACAAUCGGAAACGAAUGCUAAUACCCCAUAUGCUUUCGAGUGAAAUGGAUUUUAUCCGCCUAGAGAGAAGCUCGCGGCUGAUUAGCUUGUUGGUAAGGUAAGAGCUUACCAAGGCGACGAUCAGUAUCUGGUUUGAGAGGACGAUCAGACACACUGGAACUGAGACACGGUCCAGACUCCUACGGGAGGCAGCAGUGGGGAAUUUUCCGCAAUGGGCGAAAGCCUGACGGAGCAAUACCGCGUGAGGGAAGAAUGCCUAUGGGUUGUAAACCUCUUUUUUCAGGGAGGAAUAAAAUGACGUGUACCUGAAGAAUAAGCAUCGGCUAACUCCGUG
rnacentral:rRNA from 1 species